GGAAAGUGUAUCACAUGUGGAUCGUGAGUUUGUGUCCAAUCGAUGAUUCAGAGGCCAUCACAUCACAUGCUUCUGCUCACUGGUGUAGACAAUCCUGAGACACAAGGGAGGCACGGGCAGCUGAGUGUGUGUGUGUGUACAUGCAGGCGUCACAUUGAUGCAACAUUCAACAACAGAGUGAUAGGUGUCUUUGACUCACGAGAGACAAUAACUGGAGGAGAGAAGAGGAGAGAAGUCCAGCAACAGUUCUCCUGCUAUAACAACAAAAUCAAAAAUAAAAGCAAAGAAAAUGGAGGAAAUGAAGUUCUGCUUUUUGCCAGUUGUUCACUCACUUCAGAGAUGGGCCACUUAAAGAGGCAUUCCAACAAUUUUACACAUCAAGAUGAACUGAAUUAUCAAGGAAAAGCAUGGCUCAGCGUGGGAAGAGAGGGUGUGUGUCUUUGAAGGAGCUUCAGGUGAUGUCAUCAGAGUUACUGCAGUUUGGGCGCCACAGCCUUUGAACAGAGAGCCUUACUUUACCAGACUUACAAACUGGGUGCCUGGACUACACAUGUAAUUAUGUUAAUUUAUCUUAUGUUUGAUCAUGAUGAAUCCUGUACAUGCAACCUUUGACUCAAUCAACGUUGGGCUGAUUGCCUACAUGAAGGUACUGUUGCCCACCUGGACGUCAUCAGAAGAUCCUGACCUUUGGCCUUUGAGCCUUUUGUCUUGAGAACAGACAUUCAAGAUUCUAACUGCAAGCAGCCACUUCAACCUGAGGAGGGCCGAGCAGAAAGACAGAGAACACCUUCCCAUCAGGUGCAUACUACAGACUAACAUUUGUCAUGUGGCUGAGCCUUAAAGCACUGAGUCUGAGUGGAGUUACGAUAUUGUCACGACCAGGCGGGACGGCUCUACUGAAAAGACACUUGGAGUUGUGUGUAGUAAAGAGUUUCCUAUCUAAAUGUAUGUACUCUUCUGGCUGGCCUUGAACUGUAUGUUAAUGAUUUUAUUUUGUGUAUAUGUAAUGUUUUUUAUAUUAAUGUGAAUUUAUGUCAUUUCAUGUAUAUUAAUGCAAACAAUGUUCAUCGUGUACAUGUGAAGUAUGUAAAGUGUGGGCCCAGGAGGAUUAGAUGAUUAACAUGGCAUCAGCUGAUGGGGAUCCUUUAAAUGAACAAAUAAACAAAGCUCAGGACUGAACCUGAGCCCCUCAGCAUCUAGUGACUCACUUCAAUGUCAGACUACGUCACUUUUGAAGGAAUUCAAAAAA
rnacentral:lncRNA from 1 species